CGAAGAUGGCAGAGUGAGGCAUGCCGCCGUAAACCAGCCUCUGGGCUGUAGGCAGGCCAGUCCCCCGGGAGGCCUCAUGCAUGUGUUGGACCAUGCCCGGAGAAGAAAAAAAGAGAUCGGCCAGGGGAAAGGAAUUAAAGCAACAUUCUUUCUCCCUCCCUUUCAGAGGGGAGUGGUCAUCUACACUUAUAAAGCAAAGGUCUUAAGUUCCUUAUCAUAGGAAGAACAUUUUCUUUGACCUUUAGGUGCUUUUAUAUUCAUCUCAAAAACAAAAUUCUGAUCUCAGGACUUGGCGAACCACUGCCAAGAAAGAAAUUCUGAUCUCAGGACUUGGCAAACCACUGCUGAAACUUCACUUCUACACAGACAGGCUUUCCUUCCCAUAACUCCAGACCAGCUGAGCAAUUAUAAGGUGUUUGCAAAGAAGACAGCUCUAUGGCAAAAUGACGAUGUUCAUUCCCAGCACAAAGGAGAGUACAGGAAUGCAGCAGAGACAGGUUUUCGAUAUGUUACCCAGGCUCGUCUUGAACUUCUGGGCUCAAGUGAUCCUCUUGCCUCAGCCUCCCAAAGUGCUGAGAUUACAGGUAUGAGCCACCGUGCCCAGAUGAUAAUCAUUAUUUUAAGAUUUUUUCUACUCAUAUUUUUAAGAUUUUUUCUAGUUUGGAAAGCUGUUUUUUAAAAUAAACUUGUGUGUUAUAGAUAGAGCUUCUUGGUAAAGUAAUCAUCUGACUAUAAAGUGAUAAGUUCAAGGUUAAUUAUACAAUUACUGCCUCAUUCAUGUCAAAAAAAAGUUAGAAAGGGUGUGAUAUCCUGACAUUAAAAGUUGAUUUAUUUCCUCCUGUGCUUUGCUCUCCACGUAAUGUUGGGAAUUAUGACUGCAGUUAUUGAAAAUAUGCCAGAUACUGUCACACACAACUCGGAGGGCAU
rnacentral:lncRNA from 1 species